rnacentral:lncRNA from 13 species
UAAUUUUUUAAUUUAAAUAAAUUAAAAGACUACAUUAUUAAUUUAAAGGAUCAUACUCAAUCAGCCUCUUGUAGCUGCACCAUGCUACACUUUUUGCAUUCGAGGCACGAGAUAAGAUGGAGAAUCAACUGUUGAAAGGAAAAGGAGAAGAGCUAAAGGCUAAAAUGCAAAGGAAUUGUAUAUUUAUUUAUCUUUGGAACUGUGUGUAAAUAAGCAUGUUUGUCGAAAUACGUACGUUUCAUCACGUAAUCACGUAAUGCAGUAGUGUACCUAUUUAUUGCCUCUCACGAACGUCGCACGCUCAAUUACGCACGUUCAAUUACAUUUAAUUACAGUAGGACUCGUGAAACAUUACUCACAUGAUGGACAAUUACCCUCAAUCGAUGAGUCUGGAAUUUCCGGGAAGAGCGGCGUGUUCGAGUGAUGAGUGAAAUAUAUACUUGUGAUCACUACAGCAGCUAAAAGUAUUAAAACUAAAACGCACGAUAAAGCCGCGCAUCUCCAUGUCCAGAGCCAUUGCGUCACUAGAAUAAUUAGAAAAAGCUUGUAUUAGAAUGAUUAAUUCUGAUUUACAAACUACGUAAUAGCGUUUGAUGCGCGAUUUUUACAUCGGAAAGCGCCUAUGCAUAACGACAGCCUGGGUGGAUUUGAUAACAUUGUUAUAUCUUUUGCUCUGGAGAAAUUAUCAAAGCCACAAGAGAGAUCAUAUUCAAUCAAUAUAUAAUAUGUCACAUAUUUUAAACACUACCUGACGUUUUGUACUUGAACAUAUCUGUGUUUAAAAACGACAAGUGGAACAAGAACAAUAGAUGCCUAAACAAUCUAUUGCACAGCAUGAUUGAUCAUUACCUUUAUCUAAAUCAGUAUUUUGCGAAAAAAUGGGUCUGUUGGAGGCUCCAUCGUCCUUACUCGUCGACAAGUCCAAGACAUUGAUGUCGGAGGUUUUGCUGGCGUCGAGUUUAUCCACAUCCUGGACCAGAGCGGGAUUCGUGCAAACGAACUGCUUUAUGGUAACUGGACCCUUGUAGAAGGUCUUGUUACCCAGAUGCACGUUCGUCGAGUUCUUCACGCAGAUGUCGCCGAAAUUCGACGGGUCGGCAUUAGGAAGGACGAUACCACCGUUUGUGGUAGCGAUUGCUUGAUGCUGCUGAACGAUGGUCGACGAUUCCGGCAGAUUAGUGAUCCAGCCGCCACCGCCUCCUUCCUCGACGUCCGUUUCCUCUUCCUCAUCG